ensembl:lncRNA
AUGUGGAGUAUGGAAUGUUGGGGAGUUUUGUCUACGAUUGCUGCCGCCUGUCUGUUAGGUGUGGUGGUGAGCCAGACAACGGCUCCCACGAUGGCUCCUGCUGUGAUGAACACCACAUUCAUUGAGAAUGUGACGGCGACCACCAGAGUCAGUGAGACCACCACAGUCAGUGAGAAUGUGACCUUGACCACACCCAUGAUCCUCAGCACCACAUCUCCAGGCUGCUCUGCCCUCAACACCUCCACCUGUGAGACCUGUGUCCCAGGGUCCUACUCUGACAAUGACACCCUGCUGUGUUCCUGUUGCCAUGAGCCAGGGCUGUGUCUGUUCGCUGGGGCUUGCCUCCCAUGUUCCAGAGGGUUCUUUCAGCCUCUUGCUGGACAACAACGAUGUCAGCCCUGCAGCCAGGGUUUUUACACCAAUUUUACCGGCAGCCUUAUGUGUCAGUCCUGCUCCCCAGGCUCCUACAACAACAACACAGGCUCCGACUCCUGCCGAAGCUGUUCUCCAGGUUUCUAUACAUCACAACAAAAUGCCACAUCGUGCAGUCCAUGUCAACAGGGAACGUUCUGCAACUCCUCCAGUUGUGCUCUGUGUCAGAUCUGUCCUGCUGGUACAGAGUCUCUGCAGCCAGCUGCCAAGGAGUGCACACCUUGUCGUCCAGGUAUGCACAAGGCUCCCCGUCAGAGUAUGUGUCAAAUCUGCAGCAGCGGCUUCUUCCAGAUCCGCUGGGGCCAGGAGACCUGUAACCUCUGCCCUGAAAACCACUACUGCCCAAGUCCAGAUGUGAACCCCAUCCUGUGCCCCGGUGAUGCCUUCUGUCCUGAAGGCAGCACUGCUCCAGGUUACUGCAUGGAGACCUUCUUUCGCAAGGCAGGGGAGGAGUGUGAGCUGGCCCCCGUCACCAUUGCUCUACUUGUCAUAGGAGGAGGAGUGGCCCUACUCUUCGUCAUCCUGCUGGUGUUGCGUCGAAGGCGAGACACAGACGGAGAGCUUUCCCUCGUACGACAACCUCUGUUACGCAAAGAGCGGCCGCAAGGUCGAUACUACGGGAUCCCAUGUGAUGCCGAGCCAGUAUACGCUGGUUGGUGAGCAUGUCCCCAGCCCCAUCUGAUGCCUCCAAUUAUUGGGGUCAAAUGUCUGGCUUUCAGAGCAGAAUCAGCUGAAUUCUAUGUGCCUCAGCUUUGGACUAAUGGACCAUAAGAGAAAGCAAACUCACACCAAAUCCUAGCCAUGGUUUACUAUGUCCAUUUGAGUACUUUUGAUAACUCACCAGCUCUUUCAUGCGGUACGGUACGUCUUUUAUAUGUAUUCUUUUAUUUAUUUAACUAGGCAAGUCAGUUAAGAACAAAUUCUUAUUUUCAAUGACGGCCUAGGAACAGUAGGUUAACUGCCUUGUUCAGGGGCAGAACGACAGAUUUUUACCUUGUCAGCUCGGGGAUUCGAUCUUACUAGUCCAACGCUCUAACCACUAGGCUACCUGCUGCCGUCAUUCUUGACAAGCAGAAGUGUUUUUCUUCUGUAUUUUGUGCUUUAGUGAAGGCUGACCCUAUUACAUUUGUUAAAAAGAAAAACACUGUUCUUUAAAAGAAAAGUAUAUUUGUAUGUUUUAAAGAAAAACACUGACUCCAGUCCAGGGUAUAUACUGGAAUAAAGCACAACUUUGCACUACUUAAGUGAAAUUCUGUUGUAUAAUUACUAGCCUAUAAAAUAAGAUGCAGGCUGAAGUUAUUUCCAUGAUGCAAGUUUAUUAACAAAAUGUCUGUAAAACACCAAAAGGAUGUUUCAUGAGGUGUGCGAGCAAGAACUUUUUACAGGAUCGCGUACUGAUUGUCCUAAUGUGGUACACCGUAGUAGUUCAUUGCGUAACAAAAAAAGAUGGGGGGGGGCCACCAUGGCAAGGAACGUCUCUGGUAUGUAAUGCUUUGCCACAUUAUUCAGAUAAUAGCUACCUGUGAUCAAUUCAAUGUUUUCUGUAAACCCUAUUGCUCUGUUUUACAAUCAUAAUAGCUAAUCUCUUGCCUAACAAGGCAACUUUCAUGGCUAUGAUUACCACAUUCUAAGGUUAUCAAAUGCCAGCUCAUACAUACUCUAGUCAGAUUAAUCGGUAGUUAUACACUGAGUAUACAAUACAGAAUGUUGAGUAAAAUUUAUUUAAACGUACUAUACUGGUUGUCUGUGGUUUGUCCGGCUGCUUGAAAUUUGAGACAAAAUAUUCUCAGAUAAGUAUUGUUUACCCGACUUAGAGAGCUGGUAGGUAUGGUUCGGUUAGGCACCAAGGUAAAAAUUAGCUUUAAAUUUGAUUUUCGGAUUUUAACCCCCCCUCAAAAGAAAAAGUUGGGAUUGUAUCUGUUUUUACCCAACUAAGUAUAUGGCGGCAAUACACCUUUUUGGAUGUAGUCUGCCAAUACAAUCUUAAAGGGGUUUUCUGCUUGUUUAAAGCUGUGUACAGUUCGUUAAGCGCCAGCUUGUAUUUUAAUUGUCCUGAGGUGGACUCCCUCGGGAAGUAGAAGGGGUCAUCAUUUGACCAUCAGGUAUUCCAAGACUGGUGAACAGUGGGUCGACACUUCUACCGCGCUGGAAUAAAUGAACCCCCCCCUCCUGUCUGCCAGGUGAAUGGAGAAUCCAUCGAGUUCUAUAGCUAUCUUGUCUGAGAGCCAUGUUUCUGAAAAGCAAAGAAUAUUGCAGUUCCGAGAGUCCAGUCGGUAGCAAAUCCGCGAUCGGAGGGGAUCUAUUUUAUUAUCAAGUGACUGUUUUUUUGCCUUAAUCUCACCAGGACCCCCCCUCUCUUGUCUCUAACACCGGCGUUUACUUAAUCUCACCAGGAUCCCCCCUCUCUUGUCUCUAACGCCGGUGUUUACUUUUGGGUAGCCUGAAUUUUAGGUUGGAAUUAGAGAGUCCAGGGCAGAUGAGUCGAAGUAGAAGGCAGAAUUGGGGUAAGUAACUGCUGAUCUGUUGUUCAAAAGUUCUUGUCGGUUGUAAGAAAUAAAAGGGGAUACAUUUCAUGAAAAUAGAGUAAAAAUAAACAACAAAAUAAUCACAAAGUUGGGUCGGAGCUUGCAAAACGGCAACCAUCCAGGACGGCACCAUUUCAGGCUCACAAUAAAAGUAAAAAAUAAAUGCAUUUACAGAUGGCAUACAAGUUUGUUAUUAAGCCACAUGGAAGUUCACAUUUUCGAGAAGGCAUUUCUGCCCCCAAAUGCAUUUUGCUCAAAUAAUUGUUUACAUUCAAAUGCCUCUCCUGUGAAGUAGUGACGCCUGACAUGCCUAGUUUCCUGAAACGAGUCACAUAUACCAUAUUUCAAAAGUCUAAACAAUACUUUUCUGUGGAUAUUUUGUCUAAAAUUUAGAGCAGCAAGAAGUACAAACCGCACUAGCCCGGCUGAUGGCGACAUUGAGUCGUUUCAUUUUACCGUCCAAACGCAAUACAUUCUUAUCACUUGUGGACCAGUAGGUGCCUAAAACAUUCUCCAUUCAGGCUGCAUAGGCUUCAAUAUCAUACUUAACAUUUUUAAAUGGCGAGAAGGCGGGGAGAAAACUGGGAAAAUAUCCACGCUUUCCUUAUGAAGCACCAUUUUCCACCACCAUGCUAGUGGCUAUAUGCUAAUCCUGGGUGUUGCAUAUCAUGUUCAGACAAUCAGGUUGAAACGAUCAGACCAGGGGUUAUGUUUCUUUCACAACAGUGCAUUAUGGGAAACCAAGACUGUUCUUAGGGUAGACCUGGUUGUAGCUAGAUAUGUUUGAGUUGCGUCAAGGGACAAAUUUAGCAUUAGUUAACCCUUUUCCUAAACUUAACAUAAUUCUCCUAAUCUGCCAAAGUACACAUAUUUUCCAAAUGUUUUUGUUGCCUUUUAGCCAUUAAAUAAAGCUAAGGAGGAAAUCGAAACCUAUGCGGCCUGAAAUGAUUUUUUUUUUUUUUUUAGGUACAAAUGGGUCCAUGAAGGAUACGAAUGUAUUGCCAGCUGCAUACAAUGCGUUUGGAUAAUAAAAUGAAACAACUCAAUAUCGCCUCGCCAUCUGCUGGCCUUUGGGCUAAAACCGCCUUGACAACCGGUACGA